CCUACGGGUGGCAGCAGUGGGGAAUAUUGCGCAAUGGGCGAAACCCUGAUGCAGCAACGCCGCGUGAGUGAAGAAGUAUCUCGGUACGUAAAGCUCUGUCAGCAGGGAAGAAAAUGACGGUACCUGACUAAGAGGCCCCGGCUAACUACGUGCCAGCAGCCGCGGUAAUACGUCGGGGGCAAGCGUUCUCCGGAUUUACUGGGUGUAAAGGGAGCGUGGACGGCAGCACAAGUCUGGAGUGAAAUCCCGGGGCUUAACCAGGGAACGUCUUUGGAGACUGGGCGGCUGGAGUGCAGGAGGGGGGAGCGGAAUUCCUAGUGUAGCGGUGAAAUGCGUAGAUAUUAGGAGGAACACCGGUGGCGAAGGCGGCUUACUGGACUGUAACUGACGUUGAGGCUCGAAAGCGUGGGGAGCAAACAGGAUUAGAUACCCGAGUAGUC
rnacentral:rRNA from 1 species